AUACUUACCUGGACGGGGUCGAUGGGUGAUCAAUAAGGCCUAUGGCCUAGGUUAGCGACCUUCAUUGCACUCUGAAGGGGUGCCGUCCUAAGGUCUCCCCAAGUGGGAGAGCCUACGUCGUAAUUUGUGGCAGUGGGGGCCUGCGUUCGCGCGGCCCCUGU
rfam:Jatropha curcas cultivar GZQX0401 scaffold153_53, whole genome shotgun sequence.